rnacentral:guide_RNA from 1 species
ACGAUGCAGAUAACUUAUAGUACAGUGAGUAUGAAUGAUAAU